GGGGGCGAUCUUGGUUUCGACGGGGGUUGCGAAGCAGAUGCGGGCAUACCGAGUUCUCAGAAUCUCGUAAAACCCUGAAAUUUAUAUAAUCGCAAACGACGAUUCUUACGCUUUAGCCGCUUAAGGCUUAGCCGUUGCAAUGGUUGGUCGAUGGGCCAUGAGGGGCAACCCUCCGCAACGUCAUUCACAUUGACUGGUUGAUACUUGGGUUACUUAAGUAUCAAUAAGAUCCAAGGUAACUGGUUCAACCUCAGCCUGUCCGUCGGCGGAGUUUGAAUAAGAUUUAAAUUGACAAGACUAAGUAUGUAGAACGCUUUGUAGAGGACUUUCGGACGGGGGUUCAAUUCCCCCCGCCUCCACCA
rnacentral:tmRNA from 1 species